UAUACACUUCCUCCGUCCGAAAAUACUUAUCAGAGAGAUGGAUGUAUCUAGAUGUGUUUUAGUUCUAGAUACAUUUAUUUCUAUUCAUUUUGCGACAGGUAAUUCCGGAGUGAGGGAGUAUCUC
rnacentral:pre_miRNA from 1 species